rnacentral:rRNA from 1 species
UACGGAGGGUGCGAGCGUUGUCCGGAAUCACUGGGCGUAAAGGGCGCGUAGGCGGCGCGGGAAGUCGUCGGUGAAAGCUCAGGGCUCAACUCUGAGCCGGCCGGCGAUACUCUCGUGCUCGAGCACUGUAGAGGCAGGUGGAAUUCCUGGUGUAGCGGUGAAAUGCGUAGAUAUCAGGAGGAACACCUGUGGCGAAAGCGGCGCACUGGACCACAACUGACGCUGAGGCGCGAAAGCUAGGGGAGCAAACAGG